GACGGUUAGCGGAGACCUAGCGUGUGGGUGCGGGUGAGGCCGAGGACCGGCUCCCCCUCUGGGACGGCGCUACAACCCGCCGCAUCUACCUCCUCCCGAAGCCGCGGGAAGACGCAGGUGCCGCUGGACCACCCUCCACCUGAGCCCUGCGGCGCCGCCCGGCCCCGCCCCGCCCCGCCCCGCCCCCAGGCACCUGCGGGGGGCGGGGACCGCGGCGGAGGCACAUGCGGAUCCUGCGGAUCCAGGACUAGUGCCCCCCACCCCGCCCCGCCCCGCCGGAAGCUCGCCUCGCCCCCGUAGGUCUGCGCUUAUUUGGGGGAAAAAAUUAAGAGCGAGUCUGAUUCUUGAGAAUUACUGCUGACCUUAAAGCGACUUUGACUCCUAGAAGAGAGGAAUGGAUGGAUGGACGGACUUUUGGAAUGAAGAACAUCCCAGGAGCAAUGGAAAGAAGAGAAGUGGGAGACUAUGGAGGAUAAUUUCAUUUGGAUAUGUUUGCUGGAUUUGUAGAGUAAACUAGAUUGACAGGAGUCCUCAAAAACUAGCAAGUAGAAAUGCAGGAUAUGAAUACCUUUCCCUUAACUGUAUGCACUCUUAAAUGGACAACCUAAAAGAUACUCAAAGGAUUCAACUUAAGAGGCCGGAAACUAGGUGGGGUGAUGCACACCUGUUGAGCCUAGCUCUCUGGAGGUGGAGAGAGGAAAGCCCCAGCUGGAGACUGGCCGGUUGCAUAAAGGGGGCGGGAUCCCUAAGCCAUUCUUGCCUAAAACCCGUAAGUGAAUAUUCCAAGAGAACAAAAUGUACCAUCAAUGAAUGAGGACUAUUAAAGAAUCCCUAAAAAACUAAAACUAGAAAGGAUUUAUAUCUUCGGUUUAUAGUAGAACAGUUGUAGCUGAUAAGUAGAUUAACAGAACAUCCUAAAAUGAAAAAUGGACCCAAAUACUGCAGCAUUUCAAUGACAAGUUUUAGAAGGAACACGUCUUCAUAUUUUUAAGGGCCCAUUGAGUCCUCGGAACUAACUAAAACAAAAAUCCCUUCUUACACAAAGCCUAGGAGAAAAGGAAUGGAGAUUUUAGGUAUGAACAGCUAUCUCUAAAACAGUGUUAAUUAGAUUGCCAUUGGAGUAAAACCUACCCAGAUGAAUCUUUUUCCAUUGGCAAGCCAACAUUAAGAGAGUGGAGUUAAAAUGUUUUCAGGAAAUAGCACACUGGAUGACUCCCUUAAAAAGGAUAUCACCUCAGAUUCUCAUACCAAUGAUCUGCGGUAACAAAUGUAACACACCUAGCACCAAGAAGUCUGUAUAGGUUAACUAUAUUUUAUUCCUACUGAGAAAGUUAACUUUUUCCUUUUUUGGAGCAAGUCUUAUUACGUUGCUCAGGCUGUCGUCAAACUUGGAAUUCUCCUGCCUCUACUAUGGACAGAUUACGGUGUGGGUCAAAAUGCCUGGCUUUGAUGCAGGCUGUAAUAGAACAAUCGAUGAAUAAUA
ensembl:antisense 4930518J20Rik RIKEN cDNA 4930518J20 gene